rnacentral:rRNA from 1 species
GACGAACGCUGGCGGCGUGCCUAAUACAUGCAAGUAGAACGCUGAAGGAGGAGCUUGCUCUUCUGGAUGAGUUGCGAACGGGUGAGUAACGCGUAGGUAACCUGCCUGGUAGCGGGGGAUAACUAUUGGAAACGAUAGCUAAUACCGCAUAAGAGUAGAUGUUGCAUGACAUUUACUUAAAAGAUGCAAUUGCAUCACUACCAGAUGGACCUGCGUUGUAUUAGCUAGUUGGUGGGGUAACGGCUUACCAAGGCGACGAUACAUAGCCGACCUGAGAGGGUGAUCGGCCACACUGGGACUGAGACACGGUCCAGACUCCUACGGGAGGCAGCAGUAGGGAAUCUUCGGCAAUGGACGGAAGUCUGACCGAGCAACGCCGCGUGAGUGAAGAAGGUUUUCGGAUCGUAAAGCUCUGUUGUAAGAGAAGAACGAGUGUGAGAGUGGAAAGUUCACUCUGUGACGGAAUCUUACCAGAAAGGGACGGCUAACUACGU